rnacentral:lncRNA from 1 species
CUUGAGGCUGUGGAAGCCGCGUGCCUGGGGCGUAGACAGGGCUUAGAUCUUUUAGAAGAAAAGAAACCGAUUGCGGUAAAUCCUCUGGACUACGCCGGGUCCUCGGAAGCUGUGCGGUAACCAAAAUCCCCGACGCUGGCAGUUGCCAUUGUUCCCCAGAGGCAUCCACACUAAUGGGACCCAAGUAUUGUGCAGCUUCAUUUUACAGUGAGGAAACUCGGUGUAUGCAGGAUAGGGAACUCUACAUGGACCACAGAAGGCAAAAGCCUGCUGCUUUCCUGUGCAGGGUGGAGUGUACUAAGUUAGCAUCCUGUGAUGUACUUGCCCCAGCCAGCAACAGCAGAGAAGCACACAGGUAACACAGCUCCUUGAAGUUGGACCCUCCAGUGUUGUGUCAUUUGCCUUUCUUUUCUCAAGGGUUGUUGAAGAACCAAGACCAGGUACAUUUCAGCAGUUUCAUGCCCAAUGGUAUCCUGAAGCAGACGUAUACAGUGAUGGCCUGAGAGUCAUCUGGCCAGUGCUCCCAGGCACUGCCUGCCAGUAGCCCCAACCACAUCUGUGCAGCACAGUCCUCAGGACCUACACCAACAUCCCUUGAAAAAAAACAACAGUGUCUUUGUGGGUUUUAGGGGUUUUUUGUUGUUUUGUUGUUUUUUACAUGAAGAGUAGUCUAAACAAAAAUUUACAAAGCUCACUGAACUUAAAAUACUCUGGAAGUGUUGAUCAGCAAGAAGGCUGUGCUUUCAAACCAAAACAUGCCACAGAUGGCACCCAAAAGCAGGCAAUCUGUGAGCCUUCAGUGUGCUGUACACUCCUGGCUGAUAUUGUUUAGGACACCUGUGAACAGAAUGAGUGCUACAGGGCAUGCUCUGGGAGAAACAGUCUCUUCAUCUUCCUUGCCUAAUGCCUCAAUAAGCCAGGGAGCCUGGUGGGCUUCCCAGUGUCAUUAGCCGUGUGGAUCAUGUGGUCUCCUGGGAUGCCUGGUUUAGGUAGCCUCAAAGUUUCCCACUCACAGCUUUCUUGGAGAAAGGACAGUGGGGCAGAUCCCACAACCACUGUCACCACUUAUAAAAAGCAUUUCCCUUAUAAAUGGGACCCACCUGCUCCCUAAGGAAUUUCUAGCACCUAAGUAGCCUAUCACAAUCCAAGUGUCUCUGCCUGCCCUGAAAUAAGCCAAGAACUCUGAUAAGCAGAACAUGCCACAACUUGGCCCAGGAGAUGAGAAACCCAGCCGGGGUGCAAGCUGCAUGCAGACUACUCACUGUACCCCAUAAAGCACCCCAGAGCAUGGAACUGCAGCAGAAAUUGAAAUCUGCGUGCACAGCUAACCUCUUCAGCAACAGAAGCUACCUGAGAGCAAAGAGAAUGGCUCUGUACAACACCCACACACUGUCCUUUGGCUUUUGGUCAGGACUCCACAGACUGUCCAGUGCACAGGCCCUUCUUGAGUGCAUGGAGCUCCCAUGAGUGUCAUCUGUGAGUUUGCCACUGCUCUACCCAUGUAACUGGAAAACUUGUAAGCCAGACACAACUUUCCAUUUCUACCAUCAAUCCUCACAGGAGGGUUUUGGUGUCUAAGUGUCUGAGGACAGCAAGUUGGGUGGGAGUCCUCUACCUGGCCUCUCUUUGAUAGAAGAGUUGCUAAGAACACCAGCUGCAGGAGACUGGAAAUGACCCAACACCAUGGGAGGAAACACAGUACUUGGUCCACACCUUGUGCAGAAGGCAGAUCUCAAACAAGAGCAAGCCAGCUUUCCAGGAACUGUUUAAGAAGCAGGCUCCAGAGCCAGCUGAAUACAGGCAGUGAAGCUGUGUGUAUACUCAGGCUGUUAAGAACAGAUGGUGGGAGCCACCUGGUAUCCUGCACUAGCCCAAAGCACAACCAGGUGCCUGCCUGAGCCCAGCUCCUCUCCCAGGAGCCUGGGAAACCACAGACAACAUAUUGUGCAUUAACCAGGCCAUGCAGAAACACCCACAGGAACCUGGCCUGGCUUCUAGGGCAGCUUCAUGAUACAGAAAGUCCCUACAUGCCUGCCUAUGUACACAUCAUACACAUGAAUAAGUAAAUAAAUGUUAUUUAUAUAAAUAGCUUUUACAGCCCAUCCUGCUGUCCUCAGACACUUGGUCACCAUAACCCCAUCUGCCUGAGACCAAUGGCAUAGAACUUACUACACAAUUCACCUAGAACUGUCUUCAGAGCAGCUGAGGGUGACCAAAGCACUUUGGAGGCACCACACAAGGACAGCUCCCUGUCACCUAGUGGAAACAAGAUGCAUUAACUGGGGACAGGCAGGCAGUGCUCAGGGACCAAGCACCAUGAGCUCCAGCAUGACAUGUGUCUCUAUACACACCAGGGUGCCAGCUAGCCUGGCUCAUGACCAACCUCAUUUGCUCCCUGUGCAGUUGGCACAUACCUGCCUCCAUAAUGUUAGUGUCAUCAGUAAGAUGUGGACACUUGUGUGAACAAGCAAGGAAAGAAAGCAGUAGAGAGGAGAGGAGAUGGGGCAGAUAGGUGGCUAUCAUCUGAAAAGCAGGUUAAGUGGGUAGAGUAAGGCCAAAAGGGAAAGCCCAAACCACAGUAAACAGAUAAAGCAGCUAGCCCUGGAGAACCCCAGUCACUGAAAAGAGCAAUCAGUUCUAAUCAGCUCUGGACAGGAGGUUCUGGCCAAUGCAAGUGGGCAAGAAAAAGACAGAAGAGGCCUUCCAAACAGGAAUGAGGAAUGAGUGCCCACACCCUGCAUUCAUGUUAGUUCUUGGGAAGCACUUAGGGCAUCUGAGCAGAGCUACAGGACAGAGCAUUUCCACCACAGGUUCACAAGCUAAAGACUCCAAGUCAAACCCCCACUGACAAAUAAAUAUGAAAGGCCCAAGAGGUGACUCAGUGAGUAAAAGUGUACACAACCAAACCAGACAACCCAAGUUUAAUCCCAUAUCCCCAGAUUGUCCCAUGACCUCCACUUAUGCACAUGCACAAAAUAAAUUAAUGUUAAAUUA